ACUGGGUUCCGCCUCAACGAACUGUUCCGUGUUGGCGGACAGGUCAAGUUGCGAAUCCAGCAGUUCCAGCAACUUCCUCGCCUUAGCCUCCUUUCUCAGUCUCUUUGCAGUUUUCUCGAUUUCACAAUCGAAUAGAAGAUUCGGCCGAGAAGAUCUGCUCAUAAACCAAAAAGAAAAACAAAAAAGAAAAAUAGAUCAAAAGGGAAAAGAAUUCAAUUAACACCGCUCCCCGGCAACGGCGCCAAUUUGGUGGACGUCGUAUACCACCAAAUAAUUCCUGCAGAAUUAUCAAAAUAAAUUAGUAUAAUGAUAAGCAGGGUCGAUC
rnacentral:lncRNA from 1 species